UACGAAGGGGGCUAGCGUUGCUCGGAAUCACUGGGCGUAAAGGGUGCGUAGGCGGGUCUUUAAGUCAGGGGUGAAAUCCUGGAGCUCAACUCCAGAACUGCCUUUGAUACUGGCGAUCUCGAGUCCGGGAGAGGUGAGUGGAACUGCGAGUGUAGAGGUGAAAUUCGUAGAUAUCUGGAGGAACACCGGUGGCGAAGGCGGCGUUCUGGACUGUAACUGACACUGAAGAACGAAAGCCAGGGGAGCAAACGGG
rnacentral:rRNA from 1 species